rnacentral:lncRNA from 1 species
UUGUAAUUUUGUAGAACAACUACAAAGAAAUGAUCUGCUUUCAUUUAAGUAAUUAUAUUCAUCUAUUGUGCAUAGAGAGACAUAGAUUGAGAGAGACACAGGAAGAGAGAAAGAGUGGAUUUUGGAGCUGUAAAGCAUUUUGAGAUCGCAGUGUGUGAUGCUCCCCUCCCUGUGUCCAUGUGUUCUCAUUGUUCAACACUGGCCUAUGAACAGUCUGGCUCUGUUGCCCAAGUUGGAGUGCAAUGUUGUGAUCUUGGCUCACUGCAACUUUCAACUAUGCAGUUCAAGCAAUUCUCCUGCCUCAGCCUCCUGAGUAGCUGGGACUACAGGCACCUUUUCACCACGCCUGGUUAAUUUUUAUAUUUUUAGUAGAGACCAGGUUUCUCCAAACAGGCUAGAAUAUUUUUUCAAGUCAAAAAUUUAGCGAGGAUUAGAGGUAAGUGUCACCAUGCCCAGCUAAUUUUGUAUUUUUAGUAAAGACGGGGCUUUCUCCGUGUUGGUCAGG